rnacentral:tRNA from 1 species
GGCAACAUGCCGGAGUGGUUAACGGGUUAGACUCGAAAUCUAAUGCUUUCGGGCGCACAGGUUCGAAUCCUGUUGUUGUCG